UAAUACAUGCAAGUCGAGCGAAUGAAGAGGAGCUUGCUCCUCUGAUUUAGCGGCGGACGGGUGAGUAACACGUGGGUAAUCUGCCUGUAAGACGGGGAUAACUCCGGGAAACCGGGGCUAAUACCGGAUAAUAAGAAGAAACGCAUGUUUCUUUUUUGAAAGUCGGUUUCGGCUGACACUUACAGAUGAGCCCGCGGCGCAUUAGCUAGUUGGUGAGGUAACGGCUCACCAAGGCGACGAUGCGUAGCCGACCUGAGAGGGUGAUCGGCCACACUGGGACUGAGACACGGCCCAGACUCCUACGGGAGGCAGCAGUAGGGAAUCUUCGGCAAUGGGCGAAAGCCUGACCGAGCAACGCCGCGUGAGCGAUGAAGGCCUUCGGGUCGUAAAGCUCUGUUGUUAGAGAAGAACAAGUACGAGAGUAACUGCUCGUACCUUGACGGUACCUAACCAGAAAGCCACGGCUAACUACGUGCCAGCAGCCGCGGUAAUACGUAGGUGGCAAGCGUUAUCCGGAAUUAUUGGGCGUAAAGCGCGCGCAGGCGGUCUCUUAAGUCUGAUGUGAAAGCCCACGGCUCAACCGUGGAGGGUCAUUGGAAACUGGGAGACUUGAGUGCAGGAGAGAAAAGUGGAAUUCCACGUGUAGCGGUGAAAUGCGUAGAGAUGUGGAGGAACACCAGUGGCGAAGGCGGCUUUUUGGCCUGUAACUGACGCUGAGGCGCGAAAGCGUGGGGAGCAAACAGGAUUAGAUACCCUGGUAGUCCACGCCGUAAACGAUGAGUGCUAGGUGUUGGGGGGUUCCACCCUCAGUGCUGAAGUUAACACAUUAAGCACUCCGCCUGGGGAGUACGACCGCAAGGUUGAAACUCAAAGGAAUUGACGGGGGCCCGCACAAGCAGUGGAGCAUGUGGUUUAAUUCGAAGCAACGCGAAGAACCUUACCAGGUCUUGACAUCCUUUGACCACCUCUAGAGAUAGAGCUUCCCCUUCGGGGACAAAGUGACAGGUGGUGCAUGAUUGUCGUCAGCUCGUGUCGUGAGAUGUGGGUUAGUCCGCACGAGCGCACCCUGACUAGUGCAGCAUUCAGUUGGGCACUCUAGUGACUGCGUGACAACGAGAGUGGGGAUGACGUCAAUCAUCA
rnacentral:rRNA from 1 species